rnacentral:rRNA from 1 species
CGGAUCGAAGUCUGCAACCCGACUUCGUGAAGCUGGAUUCGCUAGUAAUCGCGCAUCAGCCAUGGCGCGGUGAAUACGUUCCCGGGCCUUGUACACACCGCCCGUCAAGCCAUGAAAGCCGGGGGUACCUGAAGUACGUAACCGCAAGGAUCGUCCUAGGGUAAAACUGGUAAUUGGGGCUAAGUCGUAACAAGGUAUC